UUCCCUUCGGUAUGGUUAGGGAACGGGUUCCCCGUGGCGUUACUAGCACUAUCGAAUCGUAGGAUACCCGCGUUAAUGAGUCCUUGAACUCUCCUUUUGAAAGCGAGACAGUUCUCAGUAGAGUGCCCUUGGUUCCCUGCGUGGUAUGCACAACUAGCGUUUGGAUCGUACCACUUUGGGUAUGGAGGUUUAAGGGGUGCCAUGUAAUGGGGAGAAAUU
rnacentral:lncRNA from 1 species